rnacentral:rRNA from 1 species
GACGAACGCUGGCGGCGUGCUUAACACAUGCAAGUCGAACGGUGACUCACCUUCGGGUGAUGAUCAGUGGCGAACGGGUGAGUAACACGUGGGCAACCUGCCCCUGACUCUGGGAUAACUCCUCGAAAGAGGUGCUAAUACCGGAUAUUCACGAUUGUUGGCAUCUUCAAUCGUGGAAAGUUUUUCGGUCAGGGAUGGGCCCGCGGCCUAUCAGCUAGUUGGUGGGGUAGCGGCCUACCAAGGCGACGACGGGUAGCCGGCCUGAGAGGGCGACCGGCCACACUGGGACUGAGACACGGCCCAGACUCCUACGGGAGGCAGCAGUGGGGAAUAUUGCGCAAUGGGCGAAAGCCUGACGCGGCAACGCCGCGUGAGGGAUGACGGCCUUCGGGUUGUAAACCUCUUUCAGCAGGGACGAAGCGAAAGUGACUGUACCUGCAGAAGAAGCGCCGGCUAACUACGUGCCAGCAGCCGCCGCAG